CCUUGAUUGGCUACUCAGUUUCCUGGUAAAAAUAUAACAGUAAAAAAUGUCUUCUAGAAUAUUUUAUAAGCAAUAUAGAAAAUACAACAGUCAAUUAGCUAUACCCCUAAUUCCUGCCUCUCUCUACCCAGUAAAAUUAUACUGUAAAAAGUAAAGUAAAAAAACUGAGAUUUUAAAAUUUAAUUCAUAAAGUGGCAGCCUUGAUUCACUACGAUAUCCCAAGAGCACCAAAAUUCCACUUAGUUUUCUAUUCCAAACUGAGUUAAUAAAUUUUCAAAGCAAAAAGAAACAGCACUACACAUCCACUUAUAUAAUUCACACAAAAUUCUUUGCAUAACGAUCCUGAAACAUUAUAGAUAAAAUCAAAUGAUACGGUGGCUGGUGUAACAGCAAACAACAAUCACUUAUUGGUGUAACACAAUCCACAACCACUUGAUCACACACUGCCUGCCCUGCAGCUCUACCUUGAGAGCGUUUCUGUGACUAUGUGAAUGAGACCAGAAGAGGUGGGAGCCCCACUACAAUUCCCAUCAUUAGUGACUGAAUGACUUAGGCGGGGAGGGAGAGGAAGCCGGUAUAAAAUCUGGCGGUGGGAAAUGAACGAGGUGAAUGGCAUAAUUGGCUGAGCACAAGAGCAGAGAGUUGUCCACUGAAGAAUCACCACGUGGUUCUGGAAACGAGGAACGGUUCCUUCGGCGCCGACACCACACACACGCCUCAGUGAAACAAAUGGUAACGUAGCAUAAAAGUACUUUCUAGCAGGAAAGGUCAAAGGCGAUGGGCCAAAAGAAAACGUCUCUCAGUGAAGUUUGAAGACCUGGCGGUGAAACCCCAACAUCGAACUAGACGGCGGAAGCGAUGAUAGAAUGUUUGAACAGAUCGAAACGUCAUCAUUAAAUUGUAGAUAAAAUCCUCUGAUGUGCAGUCCUGUUGCCUGCAAGCUUUCGUAGUCCUGAGUAGAAACAAAGAGUUAUAAUCUCCGACUCACCAUUUCCUCAGUAGGCGCCCAGACAACUUGGGGCCCUUCAGAUUAACUGUCGGCAAGAAUAAUCAAACACAUAAAAAUAUAUCUGCUGUAAGAGAAGGGUGACUGAGGGCAUGCGACUU